GGUGUCUGUCUGCACAGAGUGGCGACAGAGUGCUCCGUGCCCCGUCCCCCUUUUUGCUCUUGGGUCCUCUCAACCGGUGGUAAGUGUUCUCCCUCUCCGUGUUAGACCGAACGAUAUUCUGUGGCUAACGUUAUUGUGGUCACAGGUAGAUGUCUUCCUGCCGUGUGGGUUUUUCUCCCCCCCCUCUCCCUGUGCAGGUUUGACCUGGGAAACAGGGAAUGCUCAUCAGCUGGCUGAAAUCCACCGGGGGUGAUUUUAUGUGACAACACUCAGUUGAUUCGGGCCACUGCUGCUUUGACUGCUGCUUUGACUGCUGCUUUGCAUGCAGCUUUGACUGCUGCUUUGCCUGCAACUGUGACUGCUGCUUUGCCUGCAACUGUGACUGCUGCUUUGCUGAGUAGUUAAUCGUUUAUUUUGUAUUUCUUUUGGUUUGUUCCAUUUAUUUUCUUUAUUU
ensembl:lncRNA